UACGGAGGGGGCUAGCGUUGUUCGGAAUUACUGGGCGUAAAGCGCACGUAGGCGGCUUUGCAAGUCAGAGGUGAAAGCCCGGGGCUCAACCCCGGAAUAGCCUUUGAGACUGCAUCGCUAGAAUUGUGGAGAGGUAAGUGGAAUUCCGAGUGUAGAGGUGAAAUUCGUAGAUAUUCGGAAGAACACCAGUGGCGAAGGCGACUUACUGGACACAUAUUGACGCUGAGGUGCGAAAGCGUGGGGAGCAAACAGGAU
rnacentral:rRNA from 1 species